UAUUUCACGAAGACAGUUUGGCUAUGUGUGUGUGAGUGCACACGUAUACAUUGUUAUUAUGUGCGUGACGCUGUUUCCAUCGCGACGCGGUUUAUGGCUGAGAUUUAUAGAGCGCACUUAAGACACUGUUAAAACGAGACAGCGUUAUACCGCUGGCAUAAAUCUGUCUCGUUUUAACUGACACUUAAGUCAAAGUGUGCUCUAUAGAUUUCAACCUACGUUACGCACACAAACGCGUUAACGCUUAUCGGUACACACACUACAACAAAGGCAGAGCGGCCAUCGUGAAAUAUAACACUAAGUAUAUCUUAUUCUAAUUUCAUGUGGAUGUAAAAAAAAAAAACUCGUGUAGACAUAUUUUUCUAUAAUUCUCUAUAUUAUUUGGUACACAACUGGGUCGCGAUGUCCAACCGUACGCGGUGAUUUGGGCGGUCGUUCAAUCAACGACAUUACACUAGACUCCUUAAAUAAUCUACAUACAUUUGUAUAGCUGCGGCUCACCGGUACGCUUGCACAACCGACUGUUUACUUGUUCGCUAUAACAUCCAAAACUAAACACACCGGCUCUAUAUACCACGGUUUGAAGACAUACAUUCGGCCAAUGCAGACAUCUAUACAGAGUAAUAAGACGCGGUAGGGCUAUUUAAAAGCCAAACAAAUUUUAAAAGCCUCGUAGUCUUUUAAAUGUAAUCCCAUCCUCGUAUACAGCAUUGUGAAAAGGACAGCAAUAUAGAUAUUAAUCUUACUUAGAAUACUAUGCUCUUCUGCCAUUGGCUAAAAACAUUGUUGUAGCACUAACCCAUCAAUCAAUCAAUCAAUCAAUUCAACCCAGCCAAUAAUAACUGAGAUGAGUGCAUAGUGAUGAAAAUAAGUUUAGUGGUUCAUUUUAGUUUGCUAAAAAGGUAAACAAGUAUGCACUAUACGCGGCCUAUACACUUUUGUUACUGGAAACUGAAAAUGAAAUCUACUUAACUUCAGAAGGUCUAAAGCGCCGGGAAAAUCACGUCGCUUACGGCUUUCUCCAAGAACGUUAUUGCGAUUUGUUUAUAUUUUAAGCAAACUAAGGAAAACUAAAGUAUAAGAGGUUGAACACACUUUCAAUGAAAAUUCUAACACAGUACAGUCUUAAAAGUGAGUUGAAAUUGAGAGUUCCAGGAGUGAAUACGUUUUGGAUGUUUUAGCGAACAAGGUUCCUUAACUAACUGUACAGACAUUCAUACCGUUGGAAUAUUUAACAUCAGAUCAGAGACGACAUUGAGACAACGGUGUUGGGAGGAUUUUUAGACUAUUAACAGACGAUCCAAUUUGGUUGGACGCUAAGACCCGACCACGACUAUAAUAUAAUGCUAAUAAUAUAUUUUUAACAGACAUAGCUAU